AUUGAACGCUGGCGGCAGGCCUAACACAUGCAAGUCGAGCGGAUGAAGGGAGCUUGCUCCUGGAUUCAGCGGCGGACGGGUGAGUAAUGCCUAGGAAUCUGCCUGGUAGUGGGGGAUAACGUCCGGAAACGGGCGCUAAUACCGCAUACGUCCUGAGGGAGAAAGUGGGGGAUCUUCGGACCUCACGCUAUCAGAUGAGCCUAGGUCGGAUUAGCUAGUUGGUGGGGUAAAGGCCUACCAAGGCGACGAUCCGUAACUGGUCUGAGAGGAUGAUCAGUCACACUGGAACUGAGACACGGUCCAGACUCCUACGGGAGGCAGCAGUGGGGAAUAUUGGACAAUGGGCGAAAGCCUGAUCCAGCCAUGCCGCGUGUGUGAAGAAGGUCUUCGGAUGGUAAAGCACUUUAAGUUGGGAGGAAGGGCAGUAAGUUAAUACCUUGCUGCUUUGACGUUACCAACAGAAUAAGCACCGGCUAACUUCGUG
rnacentral:rRNA from 1 species